UACGUAGGGUGCAAGCGUUGUCCGGAAUUAUUGGGCGUAAAGAGCUCGUAGGCGGUUUGUCGCGUCGGCUGUGAAAGCCCGGAGCUCAACUCCGGGUCUGCAGUCGAUACGGGCAGACUUGAGUGUUGCAGGGGAGACUGGAAUUCCUGGUGUAGCGGUGAAAUGCGCAGAUAUCAGGAGGAACACCGAUGGCGAAGGCAGGUCUCUGGGCAUUAACUGACGCUGAUGAGCGAAAGCAUGGGGAGCGAACAGGAUUAG
rnacentral:rRNA from 1 species